GUUAAUUAUAAGUCAGUGUAAGAACAUUUUAUUUAAUAGGGCUAGAAUUGUUAGAGUGUGGACUUUAAAACCCAUUUACCACUUCUGCUUUUUUAAAUAUUUUUAAGUGCUUUUUUGCGUUUUUUAAGUACAUAUAAAUCCGUUCCCUAAACAUAACAUUCUAGCCUUUAGUAUAGUAAAAAAUCUUUAAAAUAAAAAAUAAAAAAUAAAAAAAUAUAACAGUUGUUGGUAAUAUUAUUUUAAAAAAAUCAUCACCU